CAUAGCCCUAGAAAACCUGAAACCCAGCAGCUCUCCACACUCCAGUAAUAUUGGGUAAAUGAAAGACUGGAUCAGCAAAUUUACCAGACAGACCCAUGAGCUCAUCAUACAGAGCUCGGAGCCCCAUAUGCCACCCUGGGGAUCCCUGCCAAGACACCCAACAUUGCAAGAGUAUAGAUGUCGUGGGAGACAGCCAUUGUCCUGACUCUCACCAUGGAUCAACGUGCUAUGCUGCUGAGAACACCAAGCCUCGGCACACCUAGGAAAGGAGUUUUCUACCGGAGUUUGCAAAGGGAUAUCCGGCUGGGAUGGACUAUUUCAAGGUUGUGAUCCCUCCCUGCGACCGUGACACAGAACCACUAUGGCUCAAAGAUUCUACCUGCUAAGUUGGCUGCUGUUUCUCCUCAUGGCUUGUUGGAAGCAGAGGCAGCAUAACACAUCACACUGCAUUGCUUGUCUUGCCUUUUUCUUCACUUUUACCUUCCUAAGCUUGUACCCUCCCCACACCCACAUAAAAAGAAU